GAUGAACGCUAGCGAUAGGCCUAACACAUGCAAGUCGAGGGGCAUCACAUGAAGUAGCAAUACGGAUGGUGGCGACCGGCGCACGGGUGAGUAACACGUAUGCAACCUGCCUUCAACAAGGGGAUAACCCGUUGAAAGACGGACUAAUACCCUAUAACACAGGGGUCCCGCAUGGGGAUAUUUGUUAAAGGACAACCGGUUGAAGAUGGGCAUGCGUUCCAUUAGCUAGUUGGCGGGUAAGGGCCCACCAAGGCAACGAUGGAUAGGGGAACUGAGAGGUUUAUCCCCCACACUGGUACUGAGACACGGGACCAGACUCCUACGGGAGGCAGCAGUGAGGAAUAUUGGUCAAUGGACGCAAGUCUGAACCAGCCACGUCGCGUGAAGGAAGACGGCCCUACGGGUUGUAAACUUCUUUUGCAAGGGAAUAAAGUGGGCCACGUGUGGCCUUUUGCAAGUACCUUGCGAAUAAGGAUCGGCUAACUCCGUGCCAGCAG
rnacentral:rRNA from 1 species